GUCUAAGGACAUAUCACCCUGAACGCACCCAAUCUCAUCUGGUCUUAAAAGCUAAGCAGGGUUGGGCCUUGUUAGUACUUGGAUGGAAGACAGAUCUUCAAAAGAGACUGCUCAGAGAUGAGCACUUUGGAGACA
ensembl:rRNA 5S_rRNA 5S ribosomal RNA